AUUGAACGCUGGCGGCAGGCCUAACACAUGCAAGUCGAGCGGAUGAAGGGAGCUUGCUCCUGGAUUCAGCGGCGGACGGGUGAGUAAUGCCUAGGAAUCUGCCUGGUAGUGGGGGAUAACGUCCGGAAACGGGCGCUAAUACCGCAUACGUCCUGAGGGAGAAAGUGGGGGAUCUUCGGACCUCGCGCUAUCAGAUGAGCCUAGGUCGGAUUAGCUAGUUGGUGGGGUAAAGGCCAACCAAGGCGACGAUCCGUAACUGGUCUGAGAGGAUGAUCAGUCACACUGGAACUGAGACACGGUCCAGACUCCUACGGGAGGCAGCAGUGGGGAAUAUUGGACAAUGGGCGAAAGCCUGAUCCAGCCAUGCCGCGUGUGUGAAGAAGGUCUUCGGAUUGUAAAGCACUUUAAGUUGGGAGGAAGGGCAGUAAGUUAAUACCUUGCUGUUUUGACGUUACCAACAGAAUAAGCACCGGCUAACUUCGUG
rnacentral:rRNA from 1 species